rnacentral:rRNA from 1 species
UUAAGCGACUAAGCGUACACGGUGGAUGCCCUGGCAGUCAGAGGCGAUGAAGGACGUGCUAAUCUGCGAAAAGCGCCGGCGAGGUGAUAUGAACCUUUGACCCGGCGAUGUCCGAAUGGGGAAACCCAGUGCAAUCCGUUGCACUAUCGUUAACUGAAUACAUAGGUUAACGAGGCGAACCGGGGGAACUGAAACAUCUAAGUACCCCGAGGAAAAGAAAUCAACCGAGAUUCCCCCAGUAGCGGCGAGCGAACGGGGAGCAGCCCGGAGUCUGAAUCAGCUUGUGUGUUAGUGGAACGGUCUGGAAAGUCCGACGGUACAGGGUGAUAGUCCCGUACACGAAAGCACACUUGCUGUGAACUCGAAGAGUAGGGCGGGACACGUGGUAUCCUGUCUGAAUAUGGGGGGACCAUCCUCCAAGGCUAAAUACUCCUGACUGACCGAUAGUGAACCAGUACCGUGAGGGAAAGGCGAAAAGAACCCCGGCGAGGGGAGUGAAAAAGAACCUGAAACCGUGUACGUACAAGCAGUGGGAGCCUCUUUAUGGGGUGACUGCGUACCUUUUGUAUAAUGGGUCAGCGACUUAUAUUCUGUAGCAAGGUUAACCGUAUAGGGGAGCCGAAGGGAAACCGAGUCUUAACUGGGCGUUAAGUUGCAGGGUAUAGACCCGAAACCCGGUGAUCUAGCCAUGGGCAGGUUGAAGGUUGGGUAACACUAACUGGAGGACCGAACCGACUAAUGUUGAAAAAUUAGCGGAUGACCUGUGGCUGGGGGUGAAAGGCCAAUCAAACCGGGAGAUAGCUGGUUCUCCCCGAAAGCUAUUUAGGUAGCGCCUCGUGAACUCAUCUUCGGGGGUAGAGCACUGUUUCGGCUAGGGGGCCAUCCCGGCUUACCAACCCGAUGCAAACUACGAAUACCGAAGAAUGUUAUCACGGGAGACACACGGCGGGUGCUAACGUCCGUCGUGAAGAGGGAAACAACCCAGACCGCCAGCUAAGGUCCCAAAGUCAUGGUUAAGUGGGAAACGAUGUGGGAAGGCACAGACAGCCAGGAUGUUGGCUUAGAAGCAGCCAUCAUUUAAAGAAAGCGUAAUAGCUCACUGGUCGAGUCGGCCUGCGCGGAAGAUGUAACGGGGCUAAACCAUGCACCGAAGCUGCGGCAGCGACACUAUGUGUUGUUGGGUAGGGGAGCGUUCUGUAAGCCGUUGAAGGUGUCCUGUGAGGGGUGCUGGAGGUAUCAGAAGUGCGAAUGCUGACAUAAGUAACGAUAAAGCGGGUGAAAAGCCCGCUCGCCGGAAGACCAAGGGUUCCUGUCCAACGUUAAUCGGGGCAGGGUGAGUCGACCCCUAAGGCGAGGCCGAAAGGCGUAGUCGAUGGGAAACAGGUUAAUAUUCCUGUACUUGGUGUUACUGCGAAGGGGGGACGGAGAAGGCUAUGUCAGCCGGGCGACGGUUGUCCCGGUUUAAGCAUGUAGGCGGAGGUUCCAGGUAAAUCCGGUACCUUAUUAACGCUGAGGUGUGAUGACGAGGCACUACGGUGCUGAAGUGAUAAAUGCCCUGCUUCCAGGAAAAGCCUCUAAGCAUCAGGUAACACGAAAUCGUACCCCAAACCGACACAGGUGGUCAGGUAGAGAAUACCAAGGCGCUUGAGAGAACUCGGGUGAAGGAACUAGGCAAAAUGGUGCCGUAACUUCGGGAGAAGGCACGCUGAUAUGUAGGUGAAGCCCCUGCGGGCGGAGCUGAAAUCAGUCGAAGAUACCAGCUGGCUGCAACUGUUUAUUAAAAACACAGCACUGUGCAAACACGAAAGUGGACGUAUACGGUGUGACGCCUGCCCGGUGCCGGAAGGUUAAUUGAUGGGGUUAGCGGCAACGCGAAGCUCUUGAUCGAAGCCCCGGUAAACGGCGGCCGUAACUAUAACGGUCCUAAGGUAGCGAAAUUCCUUGUCGGGUAAGUUCCGACCUGCACGAAUGGCGUAAUGAUGGCCAGGCUGUCUCCACCCGAGACUCAGUGAAAUUGAACUCGCUGUGAAGAUGCAGUGUACCCGCGGCAAGACGGAAAGACCCCGUGAACCUUUACUAUAGCUUGACACUGAACACUGGUCCUUGAUGUGUAGGAUAGGUGGGAGGCUUUGAAGCGUGGACGCCAGUCUGCGUGGAGCCAACCUUGAAAUACCACCCUUUAAUGGCUGGUGUUCUAACGUAGACCCGUAAUCCGGGUUGCGGACAGUGUCUGGUGGGUAGUUUGACUGGGGCGGUCUCCUCCCAAAGAGUAACGGAGGAGCACGAAGGUUGGCUAAUCCUGGUCGGACAUCAGGAGGUUAGUGCAAUGGCAUAAGCCAGCUUGACUGCGAGCGUGACGGCGCGAGCAGGUGCGAAAGCAGGUCAUAGUGAUCCGGUGGUUCUGAAUGGAAGGGCCAUCGCUCAACGGAUAAAAGGUACUCCGGGGAUAACAGGCUGAUACCGCCCAAGAGUUCAUAUCGACGGCGGUGUUUGGCACCUCGAUGUCGGCUCAUCACAUCCUGGGGCUGAAGUAGGUCCCAAGGGUAUGGCUGUUCGCCAUUUAAAGUGGUACGCGAGCUGGGUUUAGAACGUCGUGAGACAGUUCGGUCCCUAUCUGCCGUGGGCGCUGGAGAAUUGAGGGGGGCUGCUCCUAGUACGAGAGGACCGGAGUGGACGCAUCACUGGUGUUCGGGUUGUCAUGCCAAUGGCACUGCCCGGUAGCUAAAUGCGGAAAAGAUAAGUGCUGAAAGCAUCUAAGCACGAAACUUGCCCCGAGAUGAGUUCUCCCUGAGACUUUAAGUCUCCUGAAGGAACGUUGAAGACUACGACGUUGAUAGGUCGGGUGUGUAAGCGCAGCGAUGCGUUGAGCUAACCGAUACUAAUGAACCGUGAGGCUUAACCUU